UACGGGGGGAGCAAGCGUUGUUCGGAUUUACUGGGCGUAAAGGGCGCGUAGGCGGUUAGCACAAGUCAGUUGUGAAAUCUCCGGGCUUAACUCGGAAAGGUCAACUGAUACUGUGCGACUAGAGUGCAGAAGGGGCAACUGGAAUUCUCGGUGUAGCGGUGAAAUGCGUAGAUAUCGAGAGGAACACCUGCGGCGAAGGCGGGUUGCUGGGCUGACACUGACGCUGAGGCGCGAAAGCCAGGGGAGCGAACGGG
rnacentral:rRNA from 1 species